GACCAGACUCCUACGGGAGGCAGCAGUGGGGAAUAUUGCACAAUGGGGGAAACCCUGAUGCAGCGACGCCGCGUGAGCGAUGAAGUAUUUCGGUAUGUAAAGCUCUAUCAGCAGGGAAGAAGGUGACGGUACCUGACUAAGAAGCCCCGGCUAACUACGUGCCAGCAGCCGCGGUAAUACGUAGGGGGCAAGCGUUAUCCGGAUUUACUGGGUGUAAAGGGGGCGCAGACGGCGAUGCAAGCCAGGAGUGAAAGCCCGGGGCCCAACCCCGGGACUGCUCUUGGAACUGCGUGGCUGGAGUGCAGGAGGGGCAGGCGGAAUUCCUGGUGUAGCGGUGAAAUGCGUAGAUAUCAGGAGGAACACCGGUGGCGAAGGCGGCCUGCUGGACUGCAACUGACGUUGAGGCCCGAAAGCGUGGGGAGCAAACAGGAUUAGAUACCCUAGUA
rnacentral:rRNA from 1 species